rnacentral:rRNA from 1 species
AUGAUUCAGAUUGCAAGUCAUCAGAAUGGUGCACAUAAGUUUUGUUCCGUUUCUUUUGUUCUAACCUCUUCAGUGUAUGAAGCAAUUCGAUAUGAAAGAGCUUACUGCAGUUACCGUAAUCUUUCUUCUCUCCAGUUCAAAGCCCGUGUAGACAAUUUCUUGAUCUUGUGCGUGUGUCGUUAUCUAUUCAAUGAAGCUCACCCUUCCAUUUCUAAGAAGCAUUUCUUCUUCUCAUAUAUUGUUGAAACGAUUUUGAAUGGUUCUAAUCAAGAGUGUGUUGCUAAUGCUUUCAACAGUGCUAAUAGUGCUUUUCCCAUGUGGAGAAGCAAUAUGGUGGUCUAG